AAGAAACAUAAACAGUAUUUGUGAAAUUUGGAUUAGAAACUAUUAUUUUAUUAGUUUAUUUUGUUGUGUUUAAGUGUUGUGUAUUUGUACCUACUGGAUAAUAUUUUCCAACAUAUUUAAUUAAGCAAAAAGCAUCUGUUUUACAGGUGUGACUGCUAAGUGGUCGUACUCGCCACUUUAACCAAGCAUUGGUGGGACCUUCAGAGAUCAUAAUGCGAAUUUCUUCAUACCAUGUAAAUCUAUAUACAUGUAUUAAUAAAUGCGUUUGCUUUA